GUAGGUGGUUCGCCUACCAAACCAGAGAGUCAGCAUCGCUGGCUACACUUCUACUGUGCUGGGAACCACUAACGUGCUACCAGCAGCCCGAGCAAUCGGGUUCACAGGUCAAAUAGACGUGGCCCCGCCUGGGGUUAAGAUAUGAUCGGACUGCACCGUAACCGGCUGCAGAGACUCGGAACCUGCGGAAGGAUCACUAAAGAGAACUUGCCCUUCGGGGUAGAUCUCCCACCCUUUGUUUAUUAUACUUUGUUGCUUUGGCGGGCCUGCCUCACGGCUGCCGGCGUAAGCUGGCUCGCGCCCGCCAGAGACCCCUAAACUCUGAAUAUUGUCGUCUGAGUAACAUAUAAUAAGUUAAAACUUUCAACAACGGAUCUCUUGGUUCUG
rnacentral:misc_RNA from 1 species